rnacentral:snoRNA from 1 species
ACCCCCUGGCAAUGGGCAAGGAGACACCUGAUUGGUGGUGUUGCUCUUAUAUCAGGGGCAAAGCAGAUGUACAGUCCUUAGUUCAUCCUAGCUUGAUUGCCUUGUGUUCGGUGGCCAGAAGCUUGUUUUCAUGCCUUGAGCACAUUA